GAUUUAAUGUAUAGAGAAUUUAAAUAGCUAUAUAAACUUAAUUUCACUAAAGUUGAGUAGAUUAAUAUGUCACUAAAACUGUUACUAUAAAAAAGCAGUUAAGACAAAAUCAUGAAUAAUAUUUUACAUCAAUCACCGAUGUUACUUUUUUUUAAGGUAUGCAGAAUCUGUGGGAGCAAAACAUUAUCAUACUUCAGCCAAACAGAACAAAGGAAUUGAGGAACUCUUUCUUGACCUUUGUAAAAGGAUGAUAGAAACAGCACAAGUGGAUGAGAGAGCAAAAGGCAAUGGCUCUAGUCAGCCGGGAACUGCAAGGCGAGGUGUACAGAUUAUUGAUGAUGAACCUCAAGCCCAGACCAGUGGUGGAGGGUGCUGUUCUUCUGGAUAACUGUUCACGCCUAAGA
rnacentral:sRNA from 1 species